ensembl:lncRNA
ACCCUAGUUAACGUGGUACCCAUUAGUCUUCACUUAGGUCCCACGUUAACUAGGGUAGGUCCUGUUAGUCUUCACUUGGGACAUACCCUAGUUAAUGUGGGACCUGUUAGUAUUCACUUAGGACAUACCCUAGUUAACUUGGGACCAAUUAGUCCAGCUAAUCACUGACACAGAAAGUGCUCUGAACACUGAAGGAGCACAGGGGAUAAUGAGGAUAAUGACUAUUAAUUACUAUUAAAAAAAUUGGCAGAGUGAAUGCCAGAAAAUUAAAAGAUACGUUCUCUGUCAUGGGCUGCCAGUCACAAUAAAAGUGACUGGGAGUGAAAUGGGCGGCAAGAAUAAUGCAGGAGAAAGGUGCCAGGCUGGGACAGCACUUGUAUUGUAUUUACAUAAGGUGAAUGUGAUUACAUGCAUUGACAUACAUUUCAUUGUAUGUAUUCACAUUUACCAGGAGGAGCUUUGCUUUUGUGUUGAUUUAGACGGCGCCUGCGGACAAAGGUAGUUGUGUCCAACCACACCAAGGCUGCCUGAGGAGACCUUUCUUACAGCAGCAGGGUCCUACCAUCUGGAGCAAAGGAGUAGCUAGGAGCUCUUCUCCCAGCAACUGUAAGGCUAAAUCACUUUUAUUUAUUUGGAUAUGAACAAUGUCUAGCAACCCAAUGGUAAAGAGUUAUCUAAGUAAAUGUGAAGCAUUGUGAAUAUAUGACAUGCCCAGAAACUAAUCCAACACACGUUCCUGCACACAGUUAAACAGAACCAGGUGUCGCCAUGUUUCUUUUUGUCAAGCUUGUCCGACCUAGCUGCACCAACUGAGGGGGCGGGGGGGCAGGUUGAUGUGGACGUCUCAGGGCAUCUGGUAAAUGGAAGGAGAGGUUCCUAAGAAACGCACGGAGACAAGGAAAGAGGGGCAGACUGACAGAUGUGCCACCAGGAAAGAUACCAACGUUCCUUUUGCUUCACUGAUGUUUGUCAGUCUCUAGUACGGAAAGAGUCAUCCUACUGUUUGCUCAGUUUCUUUUGUGUACCAAACCAAAACCAAACAGCGAACAGAUUGACAAAACACAGAACCAGCUUCCUUGCUGCGGGGGCUCUGCAGCUGCCCAUUAGCUCAGCCUCAGCGGGGCAGCUGUGCGGGAACGGACAGCUUGUCAUGAUGAGUGACAGAGGAUGAGGGGGGAGGUUUGAGGCGGGGGCGGGGGGCACUUUACCAGUUUGAGCUGCUUUCAAGCUGUUACUUGUACAUUGUGUCUAUGUAUUGACGAAUUCACUGAAUUGUAAUACAGUCUGGUCCAUCCCUCCGUGCUGGUUGUACCUGAUCCUCGGUUUUGUUGUGUUCAAAAAUGAAGAAACGCCGGACGGACAGAGGUCAUCGCUGAUCAAAAGGUUAAAUCAAAUGUAUUUAAUAAAGGAGAUGGCGGUAAAAAGAACAUCGCAGCUGAGGAGCCGCUGGUCUCAGCGACCAACAGGCCCCAGGUCAGUCCUUUGACCAUCCCUAGUGCCAGUUUGUCGCCUCCAUCAGCGAACUCGAGAACAAUGGUUCCUACAGGUAUUUAUAACAAUGCUUAAAGGUGUGAAAGUCAGUGUCCACACCUCCGGGAGUGGUCUUCUGGUGAGUU